CGGCCUUCUCGUCCUCCACGACCUCCACGACUUCUUCCUCCUCCAUCCUGGCGGCUCCAGGCCCGGCCCCGCCUUCCCGCCGCCUCCAGCAGCCUUCCAAAGCACUGCACCCUCUGCACAGGCCGUGACUCCUCGUGUAUCCACAGUGAUCCUGUAGCUGAUAGCACAGCUCCUGAGAGGACUACGAGGGUACAAAACCAGACGUGUGGUUUCAGCUUCGGUCAGCAGAGGGAGUACGGACACCUUUGUGCAGUUCCACGCAAGGCCACGCGUGACAGCUGAGAGCAGGCUCUGCUCUGCAUCCCUCUUUAGUCUGCAGGAAGGAUGAGAAGACAGUGCUGUCAUUGAUUAUUAGGCAGUAGAACUCAAGAUUUCUUCAAGCUUGCGAUGCAUGGAUUGCAGAGAAGGAAGAGCUGCAACGUUCAAAACAGGAAGUUCUUAAAGCAUAAAGGAGAAAUUUACCAAAAGGUAAAGGUAAGGGUGGAGUCUGGCUUAAUCAUAAAGCGAUAAGGACAGAGGAAGUGAGAAAAAUCUGACAAAUAAAAAUCCAACUGUUAUCUUUCAACCUCUGUGCAUACAGAUAUUCUAGAUGUUUGGUGCAUUUUUGCACAGACGGGUAAGGAAAUAAAGGACUUGUGCUCUUCAAACUUGUUUUAGUGGCAGCGUAUCUUCGAAGAUUAUAUUGAGACCGCAGCAUAACACAGCAAUAUGCUCUCAGACUUGGACUGUUUCAAAAGCUGAGUUGGCAGCAGUGUGGUGCCAGCACGGCCCUCAUGCUCCACGCAGCACCUUUCCAAUGAGAAGUGACUGCAUGUUCCUGUGGAGGUAAAUCCUUGGUUAUUAAUCCCGCAAGCCAGGCUCCAUUCUUCUUGGAUUAACUCCAUAGAUUGAGGCUGCCUACCUAAAUUUGCCAUGCCUUAAUUAAGUUCAACAUCGCCUCCAGUUCAGGGCGUUUGUUAUUCAUUGUUGCUAGUGCUACAGCACUGAGCUGAAGUCAGCACAGAAGUCUGAGAAAUGGGGCUGAGGUGGGGAGAAGUUUCUCUUUCCUGCAUUAGACAUCUGGGAUUUGCCCCUUCCAAGUGAACAACUAAUAUCACAGAGUGAAUUGUCUUUUGGUGCUACUUCCCCUAAAAUUCUUGAUCUCUUUGCUCUCACGUUGCUCUUUUUUCCAUUGAUUUUUAGCUGCGCUUGCUCAAAGCAGCUUUAACUGUAGCAGAAAUACUUAGUAGUCUGCUUUGUUUCGUGUAUCCAAAAGCAUACUUUCAUUGCAGAGGAACUGUGCACCAUCAGCUUCCACAGAUGUCCGUGUAACCUUAGUGCUAUAUCUCAGUUCCGUUGAGCGAGGAUCCAGAGUGCAUGCACUGGUAACAGAGAAGCUGGUGGCCAGUGAAGAGCAGAGGAGCACCCUGGCUGUGAGCUGACAUUUCUGAUACCAGGGUUGGCUUUGCCUCCCUGAGCUUGUCUGCAAUGGGCUCGGAGCACAUGCAGGCUCAAGAUUCCAGAGAUAUGCAAGAAGUCCAGGCUUCUCAGAACGAGCUUUAGUGUCCUGUGCAAAAUAAUUAGUCCAGAAACAAUCAUCCCUGAUGGUGUUUUUAUGUAUUCCAUAACUCUCAGAGCAAUACAGCUGAGACAGCAAUGAUGGAAUGAAUCCAACAAGGUUAUAAUUUCUUUGUAACUCCUGCCCAAGCUGAUCUGGUAAUCAAUGAUUUCUGUUCCUUUGCCACAAGCAUUCUCUCACGUAUUGCGGAGAAUAUAAGAUAAAAGAUACCAGCAGCGUGCCUACUGGAAGAGACCAGAAGCCUCUUCAAGCAAAUGUCCCCUCAGAGCAUCCCUGUAUGUUAUCAUAGGCUCAAUGGAAAGAGAGGCAACCCUGAAGUGCCACAUCAAACAGCCACUGAGUUUGUUCAGAUAAGUUUCUUUUUAAUCAUGAGUUGAGGUCUGUCUCAUACUAUUUUUUUUUUCCUAAAUAGAACUAACAUAUCUACAGCUGCAAUAUGAUUAUCUUAAUGACCUCUAAUGUAUUCUGGCUUUGAGUUCCACAGGUAAAUGUACUUGAAUUGUAUUUUUCCACUUGUUAGCUUUAUAUUUGUUGCCACGCUCCUCAGAUUUCUCCUGCUUCUAAAGAUGGUAACAUAGUUUGCCUCCUUUCCUUCAUUCUUUCGAGUCUUCACAACAAGUGGGCAUUUCCCACUGGCCCGAUCUGAAAUGCAUACUGUGCAUUUGCAUUGUCUGAAGUUAUGACUGCAAUGCAUGCUGGCAUGACCGAGCCCUGACAUUUGCAAAGAGGGAAAAAAAGAAAAACAGAGUGGGCAUUACUCUGUUUGUGCAUGCAGUGGGUCACCCUGUUCCAAACAGUGGUGCUUAGUGCAUUUACUCUGUUACCAUCUUUGAAGGGAUUGAAAAUGUGCUGCUUGUGCCAUGUGCAGUGUGAUGCAGUUUUAUUCAGGAAUAUCGGGUAUAAUUAGUGGGUAUUCUGUUUCUAAAAUCAUUCUCAUGUGUCUGUGCCUUCUGUUGUGAAACGGAGCACACGUGCACUUUAUGGGAACUGUGGGGACUGACAGGUCAGUGGUUGCAGUGCACCCAGCAGGUCAGGGCUCAGUCACCAGUUCUGAUGUGACUGAAAAGGACUGAGCAUCUGCAGCUUUCACCGAGCUCACCUGUGAGGGUUUGGGAUGGAGACAAAUACUAAAGUAGGCACCAUGGUCUGGUCAGCUCAAAGCACUUUACAGAUUGGGUCAGCAGAAUUGCUCCUCUUUCACUGUUAGUGAAGACGGUUGGUGUUUUAUAAUGGCAAUAAAACUAGAAAAUAGUUUAGAGUACAGUUUUCAUGUGUCACAGCACCGCAUUCUGUAGAAAGCCAUACUGGCAGCUUUCUUCCUCACUGGAAUAUUUAAUACAAUUGAUGCAGUGCAAUUAAUAAAACUAAACUUGCAAGAAACUAAAGAGUCACGUAUGAGUUCCUGGAUUUGGGUUACAUCGUG